rnacentral:rRNA from 1 species
GCUCAGAAUGAACGCUGGCGGCAUGCCUAACACAUGCAAGUCGAACGAAGGCUUCGGCCUUAGUGGCGCACGGGUGCGUAACGCGUGGGAAUCUGCCCCUUGGUUCGGAAUAACAGUUGGAAACGACUGCUAAUACCGGAUGAUGACGUAAGUCCAAAGAUUUAUCGCCGAGGGAUGAGCCCGCGUAGGAUUAGGUAGUUGGUGUGGUAAAGGCGCACCAAGCCGACGAUCCUUAGCUGGUCUGAGAGGAUGAUCAGCCACACUGGGACUGAGACACGGCCCAGACUCCUACGGGAGGCAGCAGUGGGGAAUAUUGGACAAUGGGCGAAAGCCUGAUCCAGCAAUGCCGCGUGAGUGAUGAAGGCCUUAGGGUUGUAAAGCUCUUUUACCCGGGAUGAUAAUGAC